AUUCAAGCUACUUAGAUUCACAUUCUCUGGGAUCAAGCAUAAGCAAUCCAAUAUGUCUUCCCUUGGUAACAUCCUAAUAUACGUCUAUCUCCCUAACUGAUUCUAUAUUAGGCAGGCACCAAUUAUCGUCCUAAACAUCCUAAAUCAGAAUGCUAUGAAGAACGAAUCCGACAAUGUGGUUGAUGCUUCAUUUGGUUCUCAUUUCAAAGCUAAUGUUAGCAUCUUAAAAGUUUUAACCCAAACAAUCUCUCAGUAUAAUUAGGUAACUCUAUUAGUCAAGUAGAUUGGCAGGAGAAAAGGUGCCACAGAUGUUCAUUGUUUAGAUCCUAUCAACCACGGAUAUUCUCUAUCAUUGUUAUUCUAGAGGGAGCCUUAGGUGAUCUUUGCGAAAUACUCUCCCAGCGACCUACUAGGAGACAUUUGUAUUCUACAAUUUUACAAUUCCUCCCUUUUUCUUUUCUACAACUCCAAACUGUCCAAAUGAAAGAAAAAACAAAAGAUAAUCUUAACUCCUGAAUGCCAUAAGGUGAUUGGCUAGUGACAUACAAUUGCUUCUCAUGAAACGCAAGACUUGUAUGAUAUACAUCCAUGUAGAAUUUUCCAUAAAUAAGGAAAAACAAAUGAUGUUAUCCACGCCAAAACUAGAUGGGAGUUCAAUUGGUUAGCUGCUAUUUUCCAUAUAAAAUGCAAAAGACUCUAAUCUAGAAUUUGAAGUUGUAUGGGUCCUUAAAAAUACAGAACUUGAUUUCUGUCACUAGAAUCAUUACGAAUAUCAGUGGAAAGACAACGAAAGUAAACCCACAAAAACAAAAAAAAAAGUAGAGCAUAUACAAGCAUAUGUGCACUUCACACAAGGUAGCAUCUAAAUGAGAAAAUCCACAUCUCUUUAGAGUUUAGAUGUUUGCAUUAUUGCACAUGUCACAUGGUGGUGGCAAUGGCAUACAAUCUAACAAGAUGCUUGCGUACAGUUAUGUGGCUGCAUUUAAUCUCAAUGACAAUUUGAAUACACAGACAUUGGGUCAUCCACAAACCAGAGAUCGGUGAUCCCUUAAAAAGGAUGCAAAGGUCCCCUCCCCCUACCCAGACUCUUAAAUAGAGAUGAAGCACAUACUUAUGUUUAUCAAUUGUGCAAGUGCAAAGGACACCAAGAAGAUCCUGCAAACAAAUGAAACAAUACCAACCCCAAGAAACAACCAAAAAUAUCAUAACUAAGUCAUGCCAAUACUUGAAUGUGAGCUUUAAGUUGUGAAUCCAGGAUUGGGUGUAACCAGGAAUUAUACGCAUGAACAAAACCAUCUGACAAACAGUGUUAUUAAGGGCGUGAGAGGUGCCCAGGCGAGGCGAGGCGCCCCGUCACCUCCUCAAAGUCCAGCCAGGUGUUCCAAUCGAGGUGUCAGGGGCGCCUCACUUUACCUGGCGCCUCGCCUGGGCGCCUCACUCGCCUUUGAUAACACUGACUAAAGUUUAUGCUUCGCACCUUUGAUUGGAUUGCAUCACCCAAUCCAAGAGGCAACGAUUGUGGGAGUUCUUUUUUUUUUAAUUGGAGACAGAAUAAUUGAAUAUAAUGAGCUUAAGUAUUUAAAGACUCAAAGUUCGAGACAUUGGAAUUCGAAAGCUAGUCCUAAACUCCUAUUCCUCCUCCAGGGAUUUGAGCCCCAAAGAGAACUAGAAACGAAUAAUAUUAUCCUAAACUAGUUGAUAGAGUUAGGAACGAAGCAAAACAAAUGUGAUAGAAAUGGGAGAAGAAAUUAAUAUUGUAUUACUGAAAUUAUCUCAAGAUUACAAUAAAUCUCUCAAUGCAACAAUACUCUCAUCUCCUCUCUUUUGGACACAGAAGAAACAAAUAGAAAGAAAUAACCUGGAGACCUCUCCUGAACUAGCUCAAGCUAGCCCCAGCAAUGCUGAAUCAAAUGAGAUAAAAACCAAAAUGCCCAUAUCAGCUUAGAAGCUCUUAUUUAUAUCUGUACCGCUGCUUUAGGGAGCGUGAGGAGUGCCAUCCAAGAUUCCCUCUAACUGAAUAACCUUCAAAUUAAUCCCUUCCAGCUGUCCUAUUCCAGAAUCUUCCUUCUUCUUAAAAUUCUUUCUGUAGUAGACUCUCAAUGGUUUUGGACCUCGUCUCACCUUCUCCGGAUUAACAUUAAGACCCAUGUCACAGAUCCUCAAAUGAACUCCCAGCAUAAUUAAAACAUCAUGUCAAGGACACCAAAUGCAGCAAAACAGAGAAAAUCCAGCCAAUCAAACAUAUGCAAGAACCAUGCAAAGAAAAAUGCAAAUGAUCAUAUCAUUCAAUAUGCAUGUGAAAGAGCUGCUCCUGCCAGCCACUACAUUUCAAUUGAUUUUGAAAACACUUAAAAAACCACAUUAAAUAAGAUAUACUACACACACACACAAAAAAAAUAAUAAUAAAUCAAGGAACAAGAGAAUGCAGUAAUGCAGUUGCAUACAUAUUCAAUACGUUCUAUACUUUUAUCAGUCAGUUGCAGUGUCCUACAUGUACGUCUUCAUAAUAUGCUAACAAUUACAUAUUGAUUCAUUUUGUUCCAUAUCCCUAGCAUUUCCUUCUUAUGCAAUUCGUACAAAUCAGGCAAUAUGUACAGACCAAGUUUUUAGAAAUUUCUUAAGUCUUCAGGAUAUGUUAAUUACUUGAUUUUAUGCAACUAGCUAGUACUAAUUUAGGGCACAUCUUGUAGCUCCGCUCCCAUACACAUACAAGCAAUUGGUUUCCCUUAUGAAUGCUCAUAACUGCAAGCACGCAUAGACUCACAGGAUAAUACUGGCAAACACAAAAAUUGCUUCUUGCAACUUAAGGAAAAAAUUAUGUUACAGAAAGAAAUUUCUCUUAUAAUUUAUAAGAGAAAAGGCAAUGCAUACAUAACUAACCAACACCAUUGCAACUAUCAUCAAUAGCAAAUGAAAGGGAAUUUCUACCAUGACUUCGUUUUUUACAAAGUAAAUUUUACUUUGUUAAUAAUUGCACUGGAUGAAUUGAUAAGCUCCAAUCUAAUGGUGAAAAGAACAAAGUAGAAACAAAGUAACCAUGUAAGACACACAAAUGACUGUAUUGUUACAACAGUAAGAAAUGCAAUCCUGUUUUCCCCCUUUUUCAUAUAUUGUUCUAACACCGAUGGUUUGCAUGAGCCAUAUCCAUAUUCAUGUACAUUAACAAGAAAACAAGAAGCCACAAUCCAAAAACAAUUUUUGAAGUUUGAACCCACAUACUCAGAAAGCCUUUAACAUAUCAUGAAUGGGAAAGGUACAAAUGAAAGCUGAAGAAGAAAACAUUCAUUGAAAUGUGAAGUAUCAAGAAGAUACAAAAUAAAUAUGAUUGCAAUACCCAAGACUCCAUUUCACAAAAUUAAACACCCAACAAUCAAUUCAAUGCACACAUACAAAAUUGCAAAUGAAUUUAUAAUACAUUGAUAUUUCUAUAUGUUAUAACUAAUCAAGCCAAGGAAAAGGAAAGAGCAAGCGAAAAUUAGACAGGAAAUUUUAGGGUUCAUUAUGUUUGGAGCUCCAAAGGUCCGCCAGUUACAAGAUCAAUACCACCUAAGAAAGAAGCUAAUAAAAUUUUUUUUAAAGCUCUUCAAAUGGACCUCUUUUUUUUCACUUAUACUCAAAAUUUGGCACUGGUGGAGCAUCGAAAGUCUCCAAAAUCUCUGUCUUGCUACCGCUGCUUGCCGCCGGUUCCUUCUUCCCUCCACCAAACCAACCACCGAACCAUGAACCAGACUCAGAUCCACUCGUCGACGCCGUCUCUUGCACGAGCUGAGGUUGGGGCUGAGGCUGACCUGGAAGGCCCAUGGGGAAUCCAGGACCACCAGCCAUAGCAGGUACUGAUUCGUCAAUCAUGAUAGGCAUGUUCUGUUGAGCACUCAUUACCUUAUUGAGCAUGAUCCCAGCUCCUUCAAUCAAAGCGAGGAGAAUCCCACCGAAAACAGCGGCGCGAGCCGAAGCGCCCAGACCUUGUCGCAUAGAAAGAAAGCCGCCUGUGGCAGCGCCAGCAAAGAUGGAGUUCCAGGGGUCCUCCUUCUGGCGGACGUAUACCAUCGUGCAAUCGAAGGCCGAAAACAGGCCACCCCAAACGGCGAAGCUUCCACCCACACGAGGCGCGUUCAUCCGCACGGCUUGGGUGCCGCCGAUGAGACGCGCCCCGCUGGGAGAGUUGUAGACGCCUUUAAUGAGGUGGAAGGCAGAGCCGCCGACCGCCCCCAUACCAAACGCGCCGCCGAUGUCAUCCAAAAUACGGUCCGGACAAGGUUCGCGAGAAGUCUCUGGCGUCCCCAUUAAAGAUUUGUAACGUUAUCGGGAGAAAUUUUGUUAGAGAAGAAGCUUUGUUUGAGACUACCGUCUCUAUGAGGAGCGAACUAGGUUUUCCAUCGGCGCUGCUGACGGCUCAAGAAUAGGUCGAAUCCCGAAUAUACCCCUCUUCAAGUCGGCGUGUCUAAGCGACCGGUACCACCUGUUAAUUUAGCGUAUACGUACGCCAAACUAUACUAUGGGCAACAUGGUAAUUUCGCUGGCAAAGAGGGAACGAAUUGCUUUGAGGAGGUUUAUUCCUCUUUAAUUU
rnacentral:misc_RNA from 1 species